AUGAGGCUCCUCGUCCCCGACGGCGCGCGCCAGCACUCCGAGGCCGCGACGCCGCGCCGGCACCGCCCGCCGCCCGAGGCGCCGCCGGAGGCCAGCGGCAGGACGGUGGCGGUCGGGAUCAGGUGGGACGCCGCCAGCCGCGAGCUCCUCACCUGGGCGCUCGUCAAGGUCGCCAAUGCCGGCGACCGCGUCGUCGCCCUCCACGUCGCCGCCGGAGGCGGAGGAGGGGCUGGGCUGGAGGAGAGGAGGAAGGCCGCGGAUUCGCUCGCGACGGUGCUCGCCGUGUACGACGGCUUCUGCAACCUCAAGCAGAUCAAUUUGGAGCUCAAGGUCUGCGCAGGAUCGUCUAUCCGGAAAACUCUGGUUAAAGAGGCGGCUUCAUGUGGUGCUGCGCAUCUGAUCCUCGGUGUCGCAAAGAAUUCUCGGUCUUUUGGAUCCUCCUCCACUUCAGUUGCCAAGUACUGUGCAAAGAGAGUUCCCACGAGUUGCUCGGUUCUUGCUGUCAACAAUGGCAAGAUUAUUUACCAAAGAGCUGCAGCACGCGAAGAACCAUUCAAUAGCACUAGCGCACCCGAGACUCCAAGGAGGAGUUACCGCAAGCUUUUGACUUCCCUGAUAGGAGAGAGAUCUCAGGAUGAAUGUAUAAAGGAUAACAGGUCCAUUUCUCGGGCUGUCACCAUGCCAAUGAGGUCUCACACAUCGCCAAAGGAAGUUUCGCUAGCAUUGGUUCCAGUUAAGGUUAGCCGACGUGAAUCGCCAGAAGUAGCAACUGGCUGGCCAUUCCUAAGGAAGAAGUUAUUGCCAAACCGACAGGAUGCGUUGUCUGACAAGCCCAAGAUGUCUGUGGUGCAGUGGGCAAUGCGGCUUCCGAGCAGGUAUUCAGCUGUUUCGCCGGUCCAUGUUGAACACAGAGCCACGAGACCAGACUCAACCAACAAUGUCAGUCGUAUCUUGCGUGAUAGGGUAGUUAUCCCCUCCAGAAGCAAUUCAGGAGGCACUUCUGUUGUGAUUGAGGAAUUGGAUAAAGAAAUUCCAGAGGAGCUGAUCUCACUCAAAGAGAAAUUCUUAUCCCUUUAUUCUUCGUACAGUUACAAUGAGCUUGCAGAUAUCACUUCCAAUUUUUCAUCUGAGUGUAUAGUUGGACAAGGUGGCACGAGCCAAGUCUACAAAGGUUGUUUGACAAAUGGCAAGGAGUUGGCAGUGAAGAUCCUGAAGUAUUCCGAUGAGGUACUGAAGGAGUUCACAUCAGAGAUCGAGAUUGUCAGCUCCGUCGUUCACAAGAACAUCAUAUCCAUCACUGGCUUCUCCUUCAAGAACAAUGAUCUUCUAUUGGUAUAUGAAUACUUGCAAAGAGGCAGCCUAGAAGAAAUACUGCAUGGUGAGAAAGAAUGUAAAAGCAUGUUUGGUUGGACCGAGAGGUUCAAUGUGGCGGUAGGUGUUGCACAUGCACUGGAUUAUCUCCAUGGUAACGGCAACAGUCGCCCAGUGAUCCAUAGGGAUGUCAAGUCGUCAAAUAUCCUCGUCUCAGAGGAUUUUGAGCCAAAGUUAUCAGACUUUGGCCUUGCGCUUUGGGCCGCUGAUGCAACACCCCAGAUCACAUGCAAUGAUGUAGCAGGAACUUUUGGGUACUUGGCUCCUGAAUACUUCAUGCAUGGCAAGGUGAACGACAAAAUCGAUGUUUUUGCUUUUGGUGUUGUUCUUCUUGAACUCGUCUCAGGCAGGAAACCGCUGUGCACUGGUUGUCCGAAAGGCCAGGAGAGCCUAGUUAUGUGGGCGAAUUCUAUCAUCCAAGGAGGAAAGCUCACGCAACUGGCAGAUCCUAGCUUGCCUACCGAAGGCCAUAACGAUGAAAUUGAGAGGAUGACACUUGCUGCUUCGCUCUGCAUCAGACCGACGCCUCAACACCGUCCUCAUAUCACAGUGGUUUUGAAGCUACUUGAUGGCGACAAUGACAUUCUCAAGUGGGCUAGAUCUCAUGUCGGUUUAUCAUACGAUAGCGAUGGUGACGAAGACGACGUCGUCACGCUCGCGCCACCGCCGGAGAACAGCACCAACAUCCAGUCGUACAUCAAUCUCGCCUUUGACGUGGACGACGACUCCGCCUCGGUGAGCAGCAACGACUUCAUCACGGCAAACACGUCCCUGGAAGAGUACCUACAGGGAAGAUGGAGUCGAUCGUCGAGCUUCGACUGA
rnacentral:rRNA from 1 species